AGUGGCAGACGGGUGAGUAAUGCGUAGGAAUCUACCUAGUAGUACGGAAUAGCCAUUAGAAAUGAUGGGUAAUACUGUAUAAUCCCCGCGGGGGAAAGAUUUAUCGCUAUUAGAUGAGCCUACGUUAGAUUAGCUAGUUGGUAAGGUAAUGGCUUACCAAGGCUAUGAUCUAUAGCUGGUCUGAGAGGACGAUCAGCCACACUGGAACUGAGAUACGGUCCAGACUCCUACGGGAGGCAGCAGUGGGGAAUAUUGGACAAUGGGCGAAAGCCUGAUCCAGCUAUGCCGCGUGAGUGAAGAAGGCCUUCGGGUUGUAAAACUCUUUCAAUAGGGAAGAUAAUGACGGUACCUAUAGAAGAAGUCCCGGCAAACUCUGUGCCAGCAGCCGCGGUAAUACGGAGGGGGCAAGCGUUGUUCGGAAUUAUUGGGCGUAAAGGGCACGUAGGUGGACUAGUAAGUUAAAAGUGAAAUACCAAAGCUUAACUUUGGAGCGGCUUUUAAUACUGCUAGACUAGAGGUCGAAAGAGGAUAGCGGAAUUCCUAGUGUAGAGGUGAAAUUCGUAGAUAUUAGGAGGAACACCAGUUGCGAAGGCGGCUAUCUGGUUCGAUACUGACACUGAGGUGCGAAAGCGUGGGGAGCAAACAGGAUUAGAUACCCUGGUAGUCCACGCUGUAAACGAUGAGUGCUAAAUGUGAGGAUUUUAUCUUUGUAUUGUAGCUAACGCGUUAAGCACUCCGCCUGGGGACUACGGUCGCAAGACUAAAACUCAAAGGAAUUGACGGGGACCCGCACAAGCGGUGGAGCAUGUGGUUUAAUUCGAUGCUACGCGAAAAACCUUACCACUUUUUGACAUGAAGGUCGUAUCCCUCCUAACAGGGGGAGUCAGUUCGGCUGGACCUUACACAGGUGCUGCAUGGUUGUCGUCAGCUCGUGUCGUGAGAUGUUGGGUUAAGUCCCGCAACGAGCGCAACCCUCAUUCUUAGUUACCAACAGGUAAUGCUGGGCACUCUAAGGAAACUGCCAGUGAUAAACUGGAGGAAGGUGGGGAUGAUGUCAAAUCAGCACGGCCCUUAUAAGGUGGGCUACACACGUGCUACAAUGGCAACUACAAUAGGUUGCGAGACCGCAAGGUUUAGCUAAUCCAUAAAAGUUGUCUCAGUUCGGAUUGUUCUCUGCAACUCGAGAGCAUGAAGUCGGAAUCGCUAGUAAUCGUGGAUCAUCACGCCACGGUGAAUACGUUCUCGGGUCUUGUACACACUGCCCGUCACGCCAUGG
rnacentral:rRNA from 1 species